AGCUACAAAUCUCGGCAGCUGCCUGGAGGA
rnacentral:piRNA from 1 species